CAAGUUACCCUAUAGCAUCUUUGGCCAACACGUUUAUAGUAUUUUUCUCCCUGGUUUAAUUCCGAGAAAAUCAUCUAACACACUGGUUUUCACUUUGUAAAAAGAGAUGUAAACCAUUUGAACUCCACAGCCCUCAGCUGUACUUGCCACAGCAAAGAAAACCCAUCAUCUUGGUAAAUAACGGGUGAAAUGUGGAGGUUUCUGGCUAUCUAGAUGGUAGGGAGUGCCUCUCUACUGAGUUUUAAUACUUUAGCCAUGUCAGACCUGUGAGUUACAGCUUUUUGCUGUGGGCAAGUUGAUUAUAUAGAUUCAUGUGGUCUACAGAAUAUGUGAUAUGCACAAAAGGUGGCAUAAAUAUGUAUUACAGUGCUAACAGCUUGUUUUAUUUCAAUGCCUGACAGGUUACAGCUGACAUUGAAGAGAACAGUGAUGAGCAGCCACUUUGCAAGCCCUCUCUGUAAAAGGCAAAUGUAUCUGACAGUGGUACUGGUGGGACAAAGCUCCACAGCCUUCAGCUAAACUGUUAUGAUAGGGACUUGAGGAGCUCUGCAAUGCGGUUUCAGGUUGUGUCUGCUGAGCUGAAUCCAAGCACUAAAAAGCCAGAAGAGAAAAGGCAAAUUGAGGAGUGUAUGUGCAGGUAAUAAAGCUUUUCCUCAGAGGCUUGGCAACAACCUUGGGUCAUGUGUACUACAAGCAUAGAUUUAGAGAUGAGAUAAAGAGCUCUGUAAUGGUUGAGUCUUUCAGAACAUGUGAGUUAAAAGCUGCUCUUGGAAAGAAACUAUUGAUAAACACUCACUGAUGUGUUGGUUAUUAAUGUGAUGUUUUUAUAUAAACUCUUUCUGCUCUAGGAACAUGAUGGAUUUUUACCACAGGAGGGAAGAAGAGCUUUUCAUGUAUAAUUUAAUCAUUUUGUAUGUGCCUGGUAUUAACACCACAUUUGACAAAGCCA